AGGGUUCGAUUCUGGCUCAGGAUGAACGCUGGCGGCGUGCUUAACACAUGCAAGUCGAACGGAGAUUACUUUUAGCUUGCUAAGUUGUAAUCUUAGUGGCGGACGGGUGAGUAACGCGUGGGUAACCUGCCUUAUACAGGGGGAUAACAGUCGGAAACGACUGCUAAUACCGCAUAAGCGCACAGUAUCGCAUGAUAGAGUGUGAAAAGAUUUAUCGGUAUAAGAUGGACCCGCGUCUGAUUAGCUGGUUGGUGAGGUAACGGCCCACCCAAGGCGACGAUCAGUAGCCGGCCUGAGAGGGUGAACGGCCACAUUGGGACUGAGACACGGCCCAAACUCCUACGGGAGGCAGCAGUGGGGAAUAUUGCACAAUGGGGGAAACCCUGAUGCAGCGACGCCGCGUGAGUGAAGAAGUAUUUCGGUAUGUAAAGCUCUAUCAGCAGGGAAGAAAAUGACGGUACCUGACUAAGAAGCCCCGGCUAACUACGUGCCAGCCGCCGC
rnacentral:rRNA from 1 species